GCCAGGCGUGGUGGCACGUGUCUGUGGUCCCAGCCACUCCGGAGGCUGAGGCAGGAGGAUCGGGGAGCCCAGGAGCACCGGGCUGAAGUGCACAACGCUGACCGAGUGUGCACACUAAGUUUGGCGUCAAUAUGGUGACCUCCCAGGAGAAGAGGACCACCAGGUUGCUGAAGGAGGGGUGAUCUGGCCCAGGUCAGAAACAGAGGUUAAAAUCCCGUGCUGAUCAGUAGUGGGACUGUGUCUGGGAACAGCCACUGCACUCUAGCCUGGACAACACAGUGAGACCCCAUCUCUU
rnacentral:SRP_RNA from 10 species